AGAGUUUGAUCCUGGCUCAGGAUGAACGCUGGCGGCGUGCCUAACACAUGCAAGUCGAACGGACUUACACAGAAGCAGGAGAUGCUUGCAUUGACUAACGGAAGUGUAAGUUAGUGGCGGACGGGUGAGUAACGCGUGGGCAACCUGCCCCAUACCGGGGGAUAACACCUGGAAACAGGUGCUAAAACCGCAUAAGCGCACAGCUUCGCAUGAAGGUGUGUGAAAAACUCCGGUGGUAUGGGAUGGGCCCGCGUCUGAUUAGCUGGUUGGCGGGGUAACGGCCCACCAAGGCGACGAUCAGUAGCCGGCCUGAGAGGGUGGACGGCCACAUUGGGACUGAGACACGGCCCAAACUCCUACGGGAGGCAGCAGUGGGGAAUAUUGGACAAUGGGGGAAACCCUGAUCCAGCGACGCCGCGUGAGUGAAGAAGUAUUUCGGUACGUAAAGCUCUAUCAGCAGGAAAGAAAAUGACGGUACCUGACUAAGAAGCCCCGGCUAACUACGUG
rnacentral:rRNA from 1 species